rnacentral:miRNA from 2 species
GGCUAGCAACAGCGCUUACCU